rnacentral:rRNA from 1 species
GAUGAACGCUGGCGGCGUGCUUAAUACAUGCAAGUCGAGCGAACAGACGCGGCGCUUGCUCCUCUGUCGUUAGCGGCGGACGGGUGUGUCACACGUGGAUAACCUACCUAUAAGUCUGGGAUAACUUCGGGAAACCGGCGCUAAUCCCGGAUAAUAUAUUGCACCGCAUGGUUCAAUAGUGAAAGACGGUUUUGCUGUCACUUAUAGCUGGAUACGGGCCGCAUUAGCUAGUUGGUAAGGUAACGGCUUACGAAGGGAACGAUGCGUAGCCGACCUGCGAGGGGGUACGGCGACUCAGGAACUGAGACACGACACAGGCACCGACGUGAGGCAGAGGCAGGUAAGCUAGCGCAAUGGGCGAAAGCCUGACGGAGCAACGGCGCGCGGGUGAUGAAGCUCUUCGGAUCGUAAAACUCUGUUAGGAGUGAAGAACAAAUGUGUAUGUAACUAUGCGCGACUUGAGGUUACCGAUACAGAAAGCCACGGCUAACUAGGU